UACGUAGGGUGCGAGCGUUAAUCGGAAUUACUGGGCGUAAAGCGUGCGCAGGCGGUUUUGUAAGCCAGAUGUGAAAGCCCCGGGCUCAACCUGGGAAUGGCAUUUGGGACUGCAAGGCUUGAGUGCGGCAGGGGAGACUGGAAUUCCUGGUGUAGCAGUGAAAUGCGUAGAUAUCAGGAGGAAUACCGAUGGCGAAGGCAGGUCUCUGGGCUGACACUGACGCUCAUGCACGAAAGCGUGGGGAGCAAACAGG
rnacentral:rRNA from 1 species